AGAGUUUGAUCAUGGCUCAGAACGAACGCUGGCGGCGUGCUUAACACAUGCAAGUCGAACGCGAAAGGGACUUCGGUCCUGAGUAGAGUGGCGCACGGGUGAGUAACGCGUAGAUAAUCUGUCCUUGUGUCUUGAAUAAUACGUCGAAAGGUGUACUAAUACCGGAUAUUCUUGCUUUUCAUAAGUUAGGUAAGCAAAGGUGGCCUCUGACAUAAGCUACUGCAUAAGGAGGAGUCUGCGUACCAUUAGCUAGUAGGUGGGGUAAUGGCCUACCUAGGCUUCGAUGGUUAACGGGUCUGAGAGGAUGAUCCGUCACACUGGCACUGGAACACGGGCCAGACUCCUACGGGAGGCAGCAGUGAGGAAUAUUGCGCAAUGGGGGCAACCCUGACGCAGCGACGCCGCGUGAGUGAGGAAGGCCUUCGGGUCGUAAAGCUCUGUCAAAGGGAAAGAAGUGCAUGAUGGUUAAUACCCAUGAUGUUUGACGGUACCCUUAAAGGAAGCACCGGCUAACUCCGUGCCAGCAGCCGCGGUAAUACGGAGGGUGCAAGCGUUGUUCGGAAUCACUGGGCGUAAAGGGCGCGUAGGCGGUUUGAUAAGUCAGAUGUGAAAGCCCACGGCUUAACCGUGGAAGUGCAUUUGAUACUGUUAGACUUGAGUACCAGAGGGGAAAGUGGAAUUCCCGGUGUAGAGGUGAAAUUCGUAGAUAUCGGGAGGAAUACCGGUGGCGAAGGCGACUUUCUGGCUGGAUACUGACGCUGAGGCGCGAAAGCGUGGGGAGCAAACAGGAUUAGAUACCCUGGUAGUCCACGCUGUAAACGAUGUCAACUAGAUGUAGGGGGUGUUGAUCCCUUCUGUGUCGCAGCUAACGCAUUAAGUUGACCGCCUGGGGAGUACGGUCGCAAGAUUAAAACUCAAAUGAAUUGACGG
rnacentral:rRNA from 1 species